CGAGCGGUCUAAGGCGCUGCGUUCAGGUCGCAGUCUCCCCUGGAGGCGUGGGUUCGAAUCCCACUUCUGACAGAGCUCAAUUACUUUUCCUCAUCAACACCGCAGAUCAGUGAGGUUAUGAUGUCUUAAUCUCGCUCUGUCGCCUAAGCUGGAGUGUGGUGGCGACAUCCUCCCGCCUCAACCUCCUCCGAAGUUGGGAGUUCAGAAUCACACGACCACGUCCUGUCAGACUUUUUCUUCCCCACAGACAUUCAUUUAGACUUUGGAUUGUGUGUAAAACGUACGGUCCUCUGUGUUUGAGGGCCUCUCUUGGUGUGCGGUCGUCGAAGAUUUCUCUUCUGAAAUACCGGAAAAGAGCGCUUGUCAGAAGUGGGAUUCGAACCCACGCCUCCAGGGGAGACUGCGACCUGAACGCAGCGCCUUAGACCGCUCGGCCAUCC
rnacentral:lncRNA from 1 species